rnacentral:tRNA from 1 species
AGGGGAGUAGCUCAGCAGGUAGAGCGGCCGGCUGUUAACCGGCAUGUCGCAGGUUCGAGGCCUGCCUCCCCUG